rnacentral:rRNA from 1 species
UACAGAGGUCUCGAGCGUUGUUCGGAUUCAUUGGGCGUAAAGGGUGCGUAGGUGGCGCUGUAAGUCGGGUGUGAAAUCCUGGGGCUUAACCCCGGAACUGCAUUCGAUACUGCAGUGCUUGAGGACUGGAGAGGGAGACUGGAAUUCAUGGUGUAGCAGUGAAAUGCGUAGAGAUCAUGAGGAAGACCAGUGGCGAAGGCGGGUCUCUGGACAGUUCCUGACACUGAGGCACGAAGGCCAGGGGAGCAAAACGGG